GCUUGAAUAGCUCAGUCGGCAGAGCAUAAGAUUGAAAAUCUUUGAGCCGUGUUCGAUUCCACGUUCAAGCA
rnacentral:tRNA from 1 species